UUAUUAUUUUCUUUUUUUCUUUUUUUUUUUCCAUGAUGUACGCAAAGAACAUUGUGAGCACUUUGGAGAUCAAGCUCGUCAACACAAAGAGAAAAGACAAGUGA
rnacentral:ribozyme from 12 species